ensembl:lncRNA
AAGCUGUCAGAUACACAAAGGAGAGUGAAACAAGGUGAAAGAGGGCUCAAGGGGAGCAAAUGAAGCAGACAGCCCAGACCUGUGCCUGGAGACAUAACUAGAGAACCAAGCAGUGUGCCCUGCUGUUGCAGAGAACAAAGUUUCCCUGACUUUUUCUUAUGGCUGAAUUUCCACAGGACUACGUGGGAAUCUGAGCUACACAGGAGGCUGACAACCAGAAGAAUUGAGCGAUCAUGCCCUCAGACUUUUUCUUUGAUGGUGCAGGUGAAGGAGAACAGAAACAUGAAAAUACUUCAGCUCUUCAGGCUCUCUUACUCUUUCUCUGCAGAAACCAUUUUGUGCAGUGCUCCAGGAGCCAGCUGCUUCACUUCAAUCAAGCACAGCACAGUUUCAGGGUAACUAAAAGAAAAUGAAGGAAAGGAAAUGCCUCUCCUCCGAAGUAGCUUACAUAAAGGCAUUGGAAAGAAGGCCUAAUUCUUCUGGGUAAAAUAUUUUUCAUUUAGACCUGAAAAUGGAUGCAAUUUUCUGCAGAUAAAACUGUUUAGUGAGAUGUGCAGAAUACUGGCAUAUCCAUCUGGCGAAGUUUCACAUGGCAGUGCCCCUGUUUUUCAGUGCUGUUCAUGUCAUUUUUUCAUGGGGCAGAAGCAGAGCUUGCAGCACUCAUAGCCAAGCAGUGCUAAGUGGCGCCAAGCAGUGCUAAGUGGCAUCAAGCAGACUCAUGUCCAACUUUCUGGAAAAGUGCAUGGGAAUUACAAAUGGAGCUCUGAGGAUCAAGCAGGGAGAUGAACAGGGAAUUUGUUAGGGGAUAAAGGAUAAUCUAUGCUAUCAAAGAGAGAGCAGAAAUGAGCCUGAGUCCAGCCAAGAAAAAGAGCAGAAGAGGUGCUCUCAUCACAGCAGAUCAGCUCUGAAGGCCACAUGGUGCCUUGGGUACAUGGAUAAGCUUGGUUUGAAGAGAACAAGAGCAGCUGAGUGUGCAACUUAAAUGAUGUUGGUGCUGUCUCUCCAUGAGUAGGGCCAACAGUGGGCAGCUUCAGGAGGGCAUGUAGGUUUGGAGCAGGUGAAAGUAGCAGUUCUAUAGAAAGCUGCAGUGUUUCAUAGAGUCAUAGAGUCAUAGACCAGUUUCAUAGAGUCAUAGAAUAGAAUCACAGAAUUGUUUGAUUUGGAAGGGACCUUUAAAGAUCAUCUAAUCCAACUCUCCUGCAAUGAACAGAGACACCUACUGCUACAUCAGACGUUCAGAAUCUCUUCCAGCCUCACCUUGAAAGUCUUCAAGGACAGAUUGUGUUACUUUGGACUGCUUUGAUUGCUUCAUGAGUCAAGGAAACCAAGCAUACUCAAAAAAAGUUGACUGUAUGUGAGCCAACAAGUACUGCAGGACUUUUCUCUCAUAAAUCUGUGUGUAGUUAAGAAGAUACUUGAAUGUAGUAAAAUUAGAGAAUCUGAGUUUUGACAGCAAUGCUAGGAAUUCCUUGGAUAGAGAUGGGGGAGAAAGAAAGAGGUGCAGGUGCUGUUACUUCAAUAUUUUGUUAGCUGCUUGGUGUUACUCUUAGUUCUUAUGCCAGGUGUUGGUGCCAGGUGUUUUGAACAGCAACAACUGUUAGGUACAGCUGUAUCCACCAUGCAAAGUCAAGAAAUUAGACAGUGCUCUGCUUUUUCAAAAAGGACAGCAGAUGUUAAUAUCUUGUAACUUUUGACUGUGAAGGGAAGAACAAACAAAACCUUUUCUACUGACAAUGUUUAAACAAGUUCUAAGGCAGGCUGCUUUAUCCUUUCCUACAGUCAAGAUAAAAUAAACCAAACCAGACUGACCAAAGAAGGGAAGAAUGGAGAAGUUUUUUUUCUACCUAGCUUCCUCCCUCCCCUUAUCCACCCCCUAUUCUCUGCAACAAAAAGUUGAUUGAAUCAUGAAAGUUGGGAAAUUCAGCAUUAUAGAUUACAAGAAAUGCAGCUCGUCUUCUUUCUUUAUUGAGAGACAGAGCUGCCUUCUAGCCACUGUUUCAGCCAGCCCUUUUCAG